rnacentral:rRNA from 1 species
CCUACGGGGUGCAGCAGUGGGGAAUAUUGGGCAAUGGGCGCAAGCCUGACCCAGCAACGCCGCGUGAAGGAAGAAGGCUUUCGGGUUGUAAACUUCUUUUCGCAGGGACGAAGAAAGUGACGGUACCUGAGGAAUGAGCCACGGCUAACUACGUGCCAGCAGCCGCUGUAAGACGGAGGUGGCAAGCGUUAUCCGGAUUUAUUGGGUGUAAAGGGCGUGUAGGCGGGAGCGCAAGUCAGAUGUGAAAAGUCAGGGCUCAACCCUGACCCUGCAUUUGAAACUGUGUUUCUUGAGUGCAGGAGAGGCAAGCGGAAUUCCGUGUGUAGCGGUGAAAUGCGUAGAGAUACGACGGAACACCAGUGGCGAAGGCGGAUUGCUAGACAGUAUCUGACGCUGAGGCGCGAAAGCGUGGGGAGCAAACAGGAUUAGAUACCCUUGUAGUC